UACGGAGGGAGCUAGCGUUGUUCGGAAUUACUGGGCGUAAAGCGCACGUAGGCGGCUUUGUAAGUUAGAGGUGAAAGCCUGGGGCUCAACUCCAGAAUUGCCUUUAAGACUGCAUCGCUUGAAUCAUGGAGAGGCGGGUGGAAUUCCGAGUGUAGAGGUGAAAUUCGUAGAUAUUCGGAAGAACACCAGUGGCGAAGGCGGCCCGCUGGGCCGGCCCUGACGCUGAGACGCGAAGGCGUGGGGAGCGAACGGGG
rnacentral:rRNA from 1 species